ensembl:miRNA
CUCUUGGAUGGUGGCCUUGAGCCUUCUGUUGUGCAUCUGAGAUUCCAGACAGCUUUUGUCAGAUCACAGCUGUAAGCAGAAGGCACCCAAGGCUGCCUUCCUAUGCACCAGUG